UAGUCCACGCCGUAAACGAUGAGUGCUAAGUGUUAGAGGGUUUCCGCCCUUUAGUGCUGCAGCAAACGCAUUAAGCACUCCGCCUGGGGAGUACGGCCGCAAGGCUGAAACUCAAAGGAAUUGACGGGGGCCCGCACAAGCGGUGGAGCAUGUGGUUUAAUUCGAAGCAACGCGAAGAACCUUACCAGGUCUUGACAUCCUCUGACAACCCUAGAGAUAGGGCGUUCCCCUUCGGGGGACAGAGUGACAGGUGGUGCAUGGUUGUCGUCAGCUCGUGUCGUGAGAUGUUGGGUUAAGUCCCGCAACGAGCGCAACCCUUGAUCUUAGUUGCCAGCAUUCAGUUGGGCACUCUAAGGUGACUGCCGGUGACAAACCGGNGGAAGGUGGGGAUGACGUCAAAUCAUCAUGCCCCUUAUGACCUGGGGCUACACACGUGCUACAAUGGGUGGUACAAAGGGCAGCAAAACCGCGAGGUCGAGCCAAUCCCAUAAAACCACUCUCAGUUCGGAUUGUA
rnacentral:rRNA from 1 species